GCACCCCAGAAGGCUGCUUGGACCUGUCUGUUGCAGUGGAUCACAAGAGUGCUCAGACAAACCACCCUGCUGGUAUGCCAGGGGAAUGCUGAAGUCUGGCAGAAGGCCUCCUUAAGAGCUGUACAGCUGAUUGCCACAGGAGAAGUCCAACUUCCGAACACGGUGAUAUGCCUCAGUUUCGAUAGCUUCCCACUCUUACUCUGCUCCCAUGCAUGCCAAAGUAUGGAGAGAGGAUCAAUGCAACAUAUUUUAUGUAGCAUGGGCUGAAAAAUGGUGCCAGCUUCU